rnacentral:pre_miRNA from 1 species
AAGAAAGAGACACUUACGCAGCGCUGACUGAAAACUCUCUGUGUAUUUACACCUAUUGAAAGUUGUCAGUCAGCGCUGCGUAAGUGUCUUUUUC